rnacentral:lncRNA from 1 species
UGGUGUGUUAUCUAUUGGUCGGGAAAGUUACGCGAACCAUUAGGUCAUGCACUAUUGGAAAAAAUCCAGUUUGAAAGCGGUUUUCUUUUACAAUGAAAAAUUAAAAUUUUGAAUGCCGAUCUAGUUUGUGAUAUUUAUGGCAAUAAACCCUAGACUGAAAUUGUACCUAUGUUUCAGAUAGACGGAUCCUUGUCGUUCCUUACUUUCAAUCAAAC